rnacentral:tRNA from 1 species
GGGCAUUUAGCUCAGUUGGUAGAGCGCUCCCUUGACGUGGGAAAGGUCGCAGGUUCGAACCCUGCAGUGCCCA